GGCAUAGUCUUAAUUCUGCCUUUUCAGAAGUUCAGACUGAAUCUUCGUUGUUGAAUUGGUGGAAAAGUUGAGAUGAGCUGGAUGUAAAAGAAUGCAGAGUGGAAACUGCUAUAACAAUCAUCAAACGGGGAUGCCAAAACCUGCUGUUUGGUCUGGAUGAAAAGAAUGAAAGUUGCUAAGAAACAGGAGGCUUUUGGAGUUAGAAGGAUAUGAUUUGAGUUUUACAUAGCACGGAUAUCUACAGUAUGAUAAAGCAAAAGUUAAUGUAUAUUUUAAGAAUAAUUUUAUUAGAUGUGCCAUACUGCGCAUAUGGAACAUUUAGGCUGCGUCUGAAAAUGCCUUUGUCACUCUCAGCACAGGAAGCAUUUUAUAGAAGAAUAUGAUUACUAAACAUAAAUGGUUGACUUGCUUCGAUAUAUUAGAAUUUUAUCAAGGAGAUUGUUGAAUUGGAACAAGAGAAAUACUGGCGGAAUUAGGAUAUUCACAUCUAUGGUUUUGUAUGUAUAAUUAGAAAAAUUUAAAGUAGAUAAAAGAAUAGAAGAAAAAAGUGAAAGAAGUAUGACAAAAUGGGCAAAAAUCUUCUGUUAUAAUACACGCUCAGUGGGAGAAUAUGUAAUUGAAUAAAUUUUCUGAUUG